rnacentral:rRNA from 1 species
UGAGGAAUAUUGGUCAAUGGGCGAGAGCCUGAACCAGCCAGGUCGCGUGAGGGAAUAAGGCCCUACGGGUCGUAAACCUCUUUGCCGGGGAGCAAGUCGGGGCUCGUGAGCCCUGAUGGAGAGUACCCGGAGAAAAAGCAUCGGCUAACUCCGUGCCAGCAGCCGCGGUAAUACGGAGGAUGCGAGCGUUAUCCGGAUUUAUUGGGUUUAAAGGGUGCGUAGGCGGGCUGGCAAGUCGGCGGUCAAAUGUCGGGGCUCAACCCCGGCCUGCCGUCGAAACUGCCGGCCUUGAGUGAGCGAGAAGCAGGCGGAAUGCGUGGUGUAGCGGUGAAAUGCAUAGAUAUCACGCAGAACCCCGAUUGCGAAGGCAGCCUGCCGGCGCUCAACUGACGCUGAGGCACGAAAGGUGCGGGGAUCGAACAGGAUUAGAUACC